rnacentral:rRNA from 1 species
CGAACACGUGAGUAACCUGCCCUCUUCUCCUGGAUAACUGCUUGAAAGGGCGGCUAAUACGGGGUGGUCUGGCCUGCCUGCAUGGGUGGGUUGGUAUAGGUUCAGCAUUUUGUUGUUCCGGUGGGGGAUGGGCUCGCGGCUUAUCAGCUUGUUGGUGGGGUGAUGGCUUACCAAGGCUUUGACGGGUAGCCGGCCUGAGAGGGUGGACGGUCACACUGGGACUGAGAUACGGCCCAGACUCCUGCGGGAGGCAGCAGUGGGGAAUAUUGCACAAUGGGCGGAAGCCUGAUGCAGCGACGUCGCGUGAGGGAUGGAGGCCUUCCGGUUGUGAACCUCUUUUUCCGGUGGUGAAGGCCUGCUUCUUUGUGGGUGGGUUGACGGUAGCCGGGUUAGGAAGCGCCGGCUAACUACGUGCCAGCAAGCCGCGGUAAUACGUAGGGCGCGAGCGUUGUCCGGAAUUACUGGGCGUAAAGGGCUUGUAGGCGGCUGGUCGCGUCUGCCGUGAAAUCCUCUGGCUUAACUGGGGGCUUGCGGUGGGUACGGGCUGGCUUGAGCGCGGUAGGGGAGACUGGAACUCCUGGUGUAGCGGUGGAAUGCGCAGAUAUCAGGAGGAACACCGGUGGCGAAGGCGGGUCUCUGGGCUGUUGCUGACGCUGAGGAGCGAAAGCGUGGGGAGCGAACAGGAUUAGAUACCCUGGUAGUCCACGCUGUAAACGUUGGGCACUGGGUGUGGGGGCCCUUUUCCGGGGUUUCCGCGCCGUAGCUAACGCGUUAAGUGCCCCGCCUGGGGAGUACGGCCGCAAGGCUAAAACUCAAAGGAAUUGACGGGGGCCCGCACAAGCGGCGGAGCAUGCGGAUUAAUUCGAUGCAACGCGAAGAACCUUACCAAGGCUUGACAGCUAUUAAGCCGACGA